AACAUCCGAUCACAAUUAGAACUCAAGCCCAAAGAGAACGCAAGUUUCCGAAUUGAUGUUUGGACAGAAUAUGAGAGAUUAACAACAUGACAUAAAUGGAAUACAAAAGAAAAAUGUUUCACAGAAAUAGAUUACAAAAGCAGCAUAUUUCAUCUUGAACUUCUAUCCAUUUAUUUCAAGAAGUACAUAGGUCAAAUAUAAGUCUUUCCUCCGCUUAUCCUUUCCAAUAGUCCACUUGUCUACAUUAAAUUCUGUUCAUGGAUCAACGAAAAUGCACAAAAGCUCUAUUAGCCUCUGCCAUCUUAUGAGUGGUUUCCCUCUUUUUUAUGGCCUCACCGGUCCCUUUGGCAGCAUCCAUAACUUCAGAACUCAAUUUGAGAACCAUACUUCGUCCUUGACGUUUUCGGGAUGCCUCCAACAACCAACGGAUGGCAAGUGCUUUUCCUUGGAAUGUUCCUACUUCAAUAGGAACUUGUUGGGUAGAUCCACCAACACGUCUUGCUUUUACCGCUACAUCAGGAGUUACUCCAUUCACUGCCUCGCGUAAAACAGCUAAUGGAUUUGAUUGUGUCUUUUGCUGAAUAUUUUUCAGUGCUUGAUAGAUGAUAUGAUAAGCCAGUGACUUUUUCCCCUUUUUCAAGAUUCGGUUGACAAACAUGUUAACUAAUCGGUUCCGAUAAACUGGAUCAGAAGUGGCAGGUUUUUUUGCCGUUGUACCUUGACAUGAGAUGAAGAUAAAAGGGAAUCAGUCUCCCUUCAUAGAGUUAAUGAAUAAAUUCACUCUCAACAUGCAUGAUAAAUAAUAACAAUAAAUACUUUCACACUCUAAUCAAUACUCCAAAAUUUGAUGGCCCAGUUGAUAAGCAAAACAAAACGAUAAUUUCACAGCCACAGGAAAGUAAUUUGGGCACCCAAAAAAGCAAUAUUCUUUGCAUACAUCGCAAGUUUGCUAUAUUUUGAGUCUCUUCUCACCAAAACAAAGAACUUAUUAAACCAUUCCCCAGUUCAGUCCAGCUUGGGAGUUGUAACAAGAAGAAUAUGCUAAUUCUGAAAAUGGGACUGGCAUUUGAAAUAACAUGUUCUGAUUCGCUCCCCACUUCCGUAGGAACCUCACUCUAACUUUCUUCCACAUUUCUCCUACCCUGUUUCUUUAUUUGCCCCCCCCCCUUUUUUUCUUUUUUUCUGUUUCCAAUUUCUUCCAGGGAUUUCAUUCAUUUACACUGUCUCCAACCCGAAAACAAAAUCUCGGCUUCUUUUCUGAUUGAACCUAUAUUGGCUAUCAAGAGCAACCUCUACUAUCUGAUAUAUCGGUUGCAUUGAGUAGAUGAGCUAAUCUUUGAUUUUUUUUAGCACACAGCAAAUCCUAAUUUUUUAUUAUUCAUUAAAAGAAAAAACAAGAUGGAUUAUCUCUUCUCCUAAACUCCAAUCAAGUCACCGUCAAAAUCAGCAAAAAAAACUCAGUAUUAACAAAAAUAAUAAAGAUGAAACAACUCAAACACGAAUCAAAAUUAAAAGAGUACAGAGUUUAAGGGAGUUAUUUAUUAAUUUUGUUUUACCUCGUUUUCCGCGAGCGCAGAGAACCUUGAGAGGGAGAGGCGCAUGUUGAACAGUGAGAUUCGGUGCUCUUUUAGCGGUGUUCAAGUUGAUUGGAAAUGAGAGCCUAUUAGGGUUCAGCUGCUGGCAUUGGCGAAGAACGGAAGCGCG
rnacentral:lncRNA from 1 species